GUAGAGGUCCUCAUACGCCCGACCACUUGCUUCACUCACAGCUUGCUUUGCGACCCUCUUUGACAUCUUGUACUUCUCUAUGUUGUCUACACUCCUAUCCAAAUAUAAGCGUCUGAAGCAAUCUUUCUUCUCCUUAAUAGCUUUUUGGGCAUCAUCGUUCCACCACCAGGUAUCUUUAGCUUCUCUUCUACUUCCUCCGGAC
rnacentral:lncRNA from 1 species